ACUGCAAACCGCCUUAUCGUGCCCCGAUUUAUCGGGGUAAGGAAAGUCCGGGCAACUUCAGGAGUCGCACCUUGAGAAGAUCAGGGGGUUCCGUUUUCAACAACGGAAAACAGAAAGUGCCACAGAAAACAGGUAGCCGAACCAAUUCCGUUAGGCAUUGGUGGUGAUAGUGAAAAGGUGGGGUAAGAGCCUACCGGUUCGAAAGUAAUUUCGGACGCACGGUAAACCUUGCGAGUUGAAAGAUCAAAUAGGCCCCGAUGAAUGCCUGAUUCAGUUCCGACUUGUUCGGGACAUCGGGGUGGGUAGAUCGAUUGAUCCUGACGGUACCGUCAGGACCAGAUAAAUGAUAAGGAUCCUGUCCCGGUAGCUAUCGGGAUCAGGAUACAGAACCCGGCUUACAGGUUUGCAAUUUUU
rnacentral:RNase_P_RNA from 1 species